AUUUAGUAAAUGGCUGAUGCCGUUCAAGACCCACAGUUAGGGGAGCAUGAUGAACAUGUUCCUAUCAUGGAUCCUAGAGGUCCACCACCAGUGCCACCGAGAGCUCUUCUAGCACAGCAAGCACCAGUACAGUUUUUAAGAUCACCUCCACAGUUACGUCAUGAAAAUGACCUGGACCUUUAUUUACUCCGAUUUCAAAGUUAUGUUAACUCCAUAGGAGCAAGACUCGAUGAAAUACCCCACAUUUUGGUAAAUUGUAUGAGUGACGAGGUUUUGAUGGCUGUAGAGAGAUUUCUUGUUCCUAACAUAGCAUACGGCCAGCUGAUAGCAAUCUUGAGAAGAGAGCUUGGAGAAACGAAUGAAAAUAGAGAGUCAUAUAAGGCCAAGCUACGAAAAACAUUGAGAAACCGGAAUGAAAAUGUCAGAGCAUACUAUGUACGGUUAUAUAAUAUUGCCAAGAAAGCAUAUGCCAACCAUGAGGAAUUCCGGGACCUGGUUUUGCGAGACGCAUUUAUCAAUAACAUCCAGGACGCAGGAAUUGCUGCUAGAUUGCGCGAGCAAGCUAACAUGAAUAAUGAGCAGCUAUUAGAGCACGCCACCAUGCUUGUAACCUGCAAAAAUGCCUCGUCACGCCAGACCGAGCAAAUAAAUGCAGCACUUAAUUCUGAAAAAUCUGCCCAAAAUGAGCUACAGAAAAUAUCAGAUCAAUUAGGACAGCUUGUAGACUUAAUGGCAAAUAAUUUCCUCACAAUCACAGACACAUAUGCUAAAAAUCCAGUCUCUGAUCUAGCUGAAAUCGAUUACCAUAGGCAAGGUUGUCAAGGUGAUGAGUACCAAACCUACCAAUUCUUUGAUUUCGAAUAGGCAAACCGGUACACAUUAUUUUGAGCACGGUAAUACAUAUAAUUAUAUAUAUAUUUUUUAAAAAUAUAUAAAAUAAAACUAAAAGAAAACUUUAUUAUAAACUAGUAAUCUUAUUUUAUAUAAGUUUUCUUUAUUUUCGUUAGUAUGGAAAAUCUCUUUUUGUUAAUGAGAUUUAUUUACAUGGUUUUUAAUAUUUUCGUUUGUGAUCGUUCAAAAGAAUUAAAAAAAGUCAUUCAAGCAUUAUUUUAUCGACGGGGACGUCUCUUUAAAGCAGAGAGAUGUAAUGAACCUCGGAAAUUCCAAGAAUUUCCAGUCAUUCUGUGCUUGAAUGAUUUUGUGUUUAAGAUAUAUCUCCUUAAGUUUAGCAGAUCAUUUAUAUAAGAAGUGUAUCUGAAUUAUAGAAUAGGCUUACGUUUAAUUAACAAACGGAGCUUUUUGUGUUUAACCAAGGGACAAUUCGACACGGUUGAUGACAUUCCAUGGAGGUGUCCAAUCAGAGCGCCACAGAAGAACACCUGAUAGCAGACCGGCCUAUCAGUAUCACAGUUUCAGACGAUGGUCUAUGGAUCGUAAGGAUGGAUAAUGAGCGGCAGAGUUUAACGAUAAUGAGCGGCGGACUCAGUGGGAUCGGAGAUGAUAUAUGAGGAUGACGAUCGGAGAACAAGGGAGUCUUAGACCAGCACAGUCGAUAGGGUUGUUCGAGUACUCAGGGGCCAAUAGGCAGGUUUCGACCGGCUACGCCAUGUUUUAUAAGCUUGCUAGACGUAGUAAUCCAGUUCAACCAGACACGAAUACAUCUUGCAGUUUUAUUUAUUUUGUUGAUAAGAUUCCUCCUAAACUAGAUGACAAUUCCAAAGACCAUCAUGCGUGUUGGGUUCGUUCUAGAGGUCACAUAUCCACGAGGAUUCCUGCUAAUACCGUGUUGUUACUUGCUAUUGUCAAUACCAGCUUGAUCGGGCCAAGAAUAAUUGAUUCUACUUCGUCAGCCAAGACCAGACUUCCUCCACCAUUCGUGACGGCCAACCUGUUAAAGAUCGAGACACCGUGAUACUCCAUUCCACCUACACCAUUGCUUAGAAAUAGACUUUGAAAGGUGAUUGCACCAUCAUAGAUUUGGACACCAAGAUAUUUCCCUUAAAUAGGUUAUGAGAAGAUGUUCUCCCGUGUCAAUUAAUUAGUAUAGUACAAAAAGCUUACUUCCAUUGUUAUAUAAUCAUUUUUUUAUAAGAAGGUUUUUGUUCAUUAAUUACACUACUAUUAUUAUAGUAGAUCUAUAUUCUUGCUUA